CAGUCGCCGCGGGAAAACGUAGGUGGCAAGCGUUAAUCGGAAUUAUUGGGCGUAAAGCGAGUGCAGACGGUUACUUAAGCCAGAUGUGAAAUCCCCAAGCUUAACUUGGGACGUGCAUUUGAAACUGGGUGACUAGAGUGUGUCAGAGGGAGGUAGAAUUCCACAUGUAGCGGUGGAAUGCGUAGAGAUGUGGAGGAAUACCGAUGGCGAAGGCAGCCUCCUGGGAUAACACUGACGUUGAGGCUCGAAAGCGUGGGGAGCAAACAGGAUUAGAUACCCCGGUAGUCCCUGUCUCUUAUAC
rnacentral:rRNA from 1 species